CUCAAAAACCCUAACCUGCGUCUCUGUAACUGUAAACAUAGGUCGGAAAUGGUUGAACUUUCCUUCUGAUUUUCUCUCAGGCCAUCCGAAAUGUUGAAGCGGAGCAUGAGUUUUAUCCGAUCAUACAUUGAUCAUGUCUCUUGCGUUGUCUUCUUCGAUUUUGAUUACUGUCUUCUUGUUCUGUGUUUGGAUCUCGAGAAAGCUAAAAGGAAAGGUUUUUGAGGUCCCUGCAGCUUUUAGAACUGACAUAUGCGAAAUCCAUCGAGUAUUAUCACUUGGGGAUGCCAAAUUUUCAAAGUCAUCGGUGAUUCGCAGUCCGCAACAAUGUCAAGUUGUCUGAAGAGAAGACCAUGUGGUCGGAAUAGCCUCAUCUUCUUCUCUUGUCCUUGAUGCCGACAGAUGACAACGACAUGAACAAACCAAAAUGUUGAAUUGUCACGACACUGGUGAAGUUUGGACAGAAACCCAGUUUCGCCGUCUCUAGACCCAUCGGAAAGGAGUGUGCAGAUCUCUGGCUGAGGAUUGCAAUCACUGCCAAUUCCAUCGUCUAAACGAUCAACACUGUUGAAACUGCAGAUUUUUUGGUAGCAGUAAUCAUAAUUUUCUCUUUCUGUUGAGUUCAAUCUCUGUAUCAUUCUCCCACCAUUUUACAUUUUGGUGUAAAGGUUUUCGCCAGAAAUCGAAUGACAAAUGUACACAGAAAAUA